UACGAAGGGGGCUAGCGUUGCUCGGAAUUACUGGGCGUAAAGCGCACGUAGGCGGGUUUGUAAGUAGGGGGUGAAAUCCCAGAGCUCAACUCUGGAACUGCCUUCUAAACUGCAAGCCUGGAGGUCAGGAGAGGCGAGUGGAAUACCGAGUGUAGAGGUGAAAUUCGUAGAUAUUCGGUGGAACACCAGUGGCGAAGGCGACUCGCUGGACUGAUACUGACGCUGAGGUGCGAAAGCGUGGGGAGCAAACAGG
rnacentral:rRNA from 1 species